CUAAAGCAAUGUACGCCAUGGCUGACGCAGCCCGAACAGCGGCGCUCUACGCCGCGGUGGUCCUGGUCCUCCUCUGCACCGUCGCGCUUCCGUCUGCGGCAUGAUGGAGCAAGGGUCACAUGGCCGUCGCCCUCAUUGCGCAGCGCCACAUGGACCCGAAGCUGGUGAAGAAGGCUAAUGCCGCGGCCAAGGUGUUCUCCCUCGCUGGUCCCUUCCCCAAGUCGCCGGAUAUGGUACAGCUGGGGCCGUGGGCCGACGAUCUGCUCGAGUCCGGCCUAAAGACGAACUUCAACUGGCACUUCAUAACGGCACCAUACUAUCCGGACGCGGACUUUACUCUCGAGCUCAGCCCGGCGCAGACGGUGAAUGCUGCCUCCGUCAUUCCAAUGUUGGAGUCUGCGAUCAGGAAAACGACAGCGACGACUGAGAUUAUUACGCAGUGCUUGGCGUUUAUGGUUCACUUGUUCGGCGACAUACACCAGCCUCUGCACAACGCAAACUUAUUCUCCGAUGAGUACCCUCUAGGCGACUACGGCGGCAAUGCGCAGAUGGUGACCAUCGAUUCUAAUGGAGCCAAGAUGCUGCUGCACGCGUACUGGGAUUCGAUGGCGGAAGGGCCGGCCAGUGUGGGCUACCCACGGCCGUUGAGCAAGGACGCCUACGAAGACCUGAAGGCGUUCGUCGACUAUCUGGAAGCGACAUAUGCAGGCAACUUAACGACGGCGGAGAAGAACCUUCAGAACACGACGGCGAUUCGGAACGAGGGGUAUGAGCUGGCGAUCAAGUAUGCGUUUCCUGGAGCCUCCAACGGCGCCACGCUCUCCAACGAGUACAAGACGAACGCCAAGAAGAUCUCGGAGCGUCAGGUGCUGCUUGCCGGCUACCGCCUGGCCAAGAUGCUGAACACGACGCUGAAGUCAGUGAGCAUGGACACUAUUCUGCAGGGGCUCGGCAACAUCCAGGCAGAGGUGCCGCGGCUUGACAACACCACCAUUGGGCACACCUUUCAGGAGAAGGGGCUCAGCACCGGCCUCACGGUGGGCAUUGCCAUUGCUCUCUUCAUCGCCGGAGUGCUCAUCUCUACCGUCGUGGUACUCUUCCUGAAUCGCCCGCGCCUGGUGCGCAGCGACUAUCAGCGAUGCGAGCCGAUCGCACUGGAUUUAUAAGCCAGUCUGCCGCAGUGACCGCCGUGUUUGGAAGGCUUGCAAUUUCCGGCAGUGGCAUGUCUGCAAAGAGGAGUUCCGCGUCCUUGAAAGCAACCACGCAGCCACUUUUCUUUUGUUUGUUUGGAGGCGGUGUGCCCCGGCUGAAUGUGACGCAAGCGUAAACGACGCCGCGCUCAUCCGAUGCAAGGGCGACACCCUUACUUAUAUUUUUUUCAUCUGCUGUUAUUUUUUUCUUCGUUGCGGCUCAUCGAAGCACUUGAGGCAGAGCCACUGAUCGAAGCUGUCUCUUGUAGAGGCUCUUCCGCUUUUCUUCCAGGUCGACGCUCUCCGCCACUUUACGCAUGAGACUCGCUGCGGUGUACGUCCUGUUUCGCCGCCAUCCGUCGCACGUCUUCAGCUCUACAUUCUCUACGUCAGCCAGUGAUUUCGAAGCCAUCUCCUGUUGCGCCCCGCGUGGCAGACUCGAAAACAGACGCGCAGCCUUGGCGAGUGGCCCUUCGUGGAGUGCAUCCGCAACGCCUUCGAGCCACCACUGCUCACUGAUAUUUGUCGUCUUAUCAUCAUGGCAGAAGGUCAGACCUCGGUGCGUGGUAUCGCAGGGUCCAGUGCCCCUCCCAAACUCUGUGCCAGGCAGUCAAUCAGCCCCUCACCCCACCCCUUAACCCUGCCAAUGCUGAACCACCUCUGGUGGUGACAAGGUCAAGCACCAACGGGCUGGGGCGGCCAGGGCGAUGUAUCGCUGCUGAUGUUGGCGUUCAGGUCCUGGCUGACGUGGCGUCGGCGGGGCCGGCGACCGUGCACGCGUUUCUCUCACUUAUAUGAUGCGCGAAGUGUCAGGGGAACUCGAGUGUACCCCACGCCCCGCCCUCGCGCUGCGUGCUGGUGUGCGGAGCCGGCGUGUCACCCCGAGGAGGGGGAUGCACCAGGGGGUGGCGGCCGGCACAGUGGGAGCGGCUGUUAGGAGGCGGGUGAGCUGAGCUCGAGGCAGGGACCGUUCGCUGAGAUGCCCGAGCCGGCGCAUCUGCUGUAGCGCGCGUCUACCGCUGCCAUCGCACCACGCAGAUGGGGGGCUGUGGGGCUUGGUGACAGGUCAGAUGGGUAUAGUGGCGUUCACAUCAUGCUCUGUGGCGUAGUGGACACGCUGGGCAAUGAACUGCUUCUGUGGCCCCUACCCAUGAGCCGCUUUAGGUUUUCUUCUUUCUCGUUGACCAUGUCGCAAACGCUUUAUUUUUUCUCCUAGUCCUGCUGCAGGUCUGGCGGAGAACCGACGAGCAGACGGGAGUGGUGAAUCCACUGCCCUAGACCUGCAUCGUCCUUGCUGAUGAAACGGGGGCUACAGUAGAGGGUGAGAAAAACGGAUACUGGAAUGCGCAGCUCUGUCACGACAUCACCUGACCCUUGAGUGUUUUCGUCGGAGGAGGAGACUGAGAGAUCAAAGGCUUCCUAUGUAGCGAGCUACUUGCAGGGCAUGUUUCCACUUUCAAGGAUGUCAUCGUCCUCAAUGUUCUUCUCCGCCCAUACACUCCUGGGCUUCUGCUUACAG
rnacentral:misc_RNA from 1 species